AUUUAUUAUAUUAUAUUCUCAUUAAUUGCUAGGGUCUCAUUUGUGAGUGUCGAGUUUCACUAUUUAAUUUUAAACGAUUUCAUUUAAUUAUUUAAGUGGUUUAGGGAUUAGUGAGGGAUUAAAGGGAGAGUAAUUAAGUUUAUUAAUCUCAAUAUAAAUACCCUCAACCCUCAUUAACCUAAAUACAACUCUCAAAAUAAACUCUCUUCCAUCCCGUUUAUUUCUCUCUCUAAAUGAACUCAUCAUCUAAGGCUAGCAAGAAAUAGGGUUUGGGGGCUGGAAAAAAAAAGGUGGAUCCGUCAUCAAAUUUUUGAGAAAUACUAAGGUAUGGGUUCUACUAACCUUUGAGAUUCUUUCCUAAAAGGGUUCCUUCAAAAUAGAUUUCAAAAAGUUGAGUUAUCUUUAUGGUUUAUUUCAAUUACGAAGUUGAAGUCAUGGAUUGAGCUUUUAAUGUUUUCUUAGGGUAAUAUUGAGUAUAUUAACAUGUAAUUGAACUUGUUUAUGGUAAUUUUUGACGGUUUGGUCUAAAUUGUAGAAUAUUAUCCUCUAUGGCCUAAAUUAAGUUAUGAAUGAUAAUUAAACACUUAAAGACAUUUCAAAAAGGGACUCAAGUUUAACACAGAGUGAACUAGAUAGAAGAGUGUCCCUUCCCACAUAGGGAAGGUAGGAAAACUACAUUACUCUUGAUAUUGGAGACUAUAAUGCAUGGAACAUAAAGAGGGUCCCCACCAUAUCUCCUAGUUCUUGAACUACAUUUCUCCUAUAGGAUUACUAUCUAGUGGAUCUACGUAGUUGCUAUGUUUUAUUUUCUGGUACUACCUUGGAAAGUUGUCCACCUUCUUUCAGUGUAGGGUUUUAUGACACCGCAUUCCACACUUGCUCAUGUGGUCUAUGUCGGUUAGGGAAAGAUGUUCCAGAAAGGUAAAACGAAUUAAAAGAAUUGAACUCUAACUUGGAUAACCUAAGAUGUGUAGAUUAUACUACGUACGAGUAUGGGACUCACCUGGACAUUGCACUAGUUAUCCUUAAGGGGAGUCUUAGGAGGAGGUUCUUAUGUAUGUUUAUGUUAUGACUAUAUAUGAUGUAAAUAUGAUGACCAUGGCACGUUGUUGAUACUAUAUGUUUAUUAGUUCAUUUGUGAAUAUGCCUUGGGGUAAAUUGAUAAUACACGAUGAAAUGCAAGCCUAUACGAUAUGAUAUGUAAAGUUUGACAUUGGUCAUGUUCUCUUGUUGAUGCUACUUGAUUGAGUAAGGUUAUGAGGCUUUUCUUGGUCAUUACACUUGUUGACUUGAUAAGGACGUGUGACUAGUUGUCUUGCUUAUUAUGAUAUGUUUAACUCUUAUUCAUUCUUGUGAAAUUAUUCCUUGAUUUUAGGGUUGUAGUAAAUCGUGGUUUCAAGUGUGUUGGAAUAAGUAUUACUUGUUGAGAUAGUAAGCAUGUUUGGUUGAUUAAUAUGACUUACCUGACUUUGCAUUAAACCCCUAAAGGGGUAGAAUGACAUGCUUUAAUAGAAAGUCCCUUUUAGCAUGUUUUGCUUGUGUAUGUGCAUAAGAUCUCAUACUUAGUACACGUGGAGUACUAAGCCCAUUUUUCUUCCCUUUUCCUAAACAUUAUAGGUUUCGGUCAUGGAAGAGUUUCGAGGGCGAUAUUGUCGAAGGCUUGGAUUCUUCCUUUCAUCCAAGUGGUGUAAGUCCUCAACUUUCCAAGGAAAUGCAAUCUUUUAGCUUUGGAUUUUGUUAUGAGAUUGUAGACUCUAUCAUUUCUUUCCUUGUUAUUUGAAUAUUGUACUAUCAUAUGACCUAUCCAUGGUCUUGUUGAAUUUAUGUAAGGGAUAUGCCCAUAUUGUGAUAUCCUUUUAGAUGGUAUCAGACGAGACAAUCUUUGAGUCUAUUUUUAUAUUUAUAUAUAUAUAUAUAUGUGUGUGUGCAUAUAAAGCAGAAGGCUAUGUAACAUUCCUAUAUUAAGGGUCUAUAUAUACUUGAUAUGAAUAUAUAUUAUCUGUAUGUAGAGGUCUAUGUAAACCACUAAUAUAUAUUAUGUGUAUUUGGAGAUCUAUGUAAACCUCCAAGUAUAGAUAAUAAAAGUUUUCAAAUUUUCCGCAUUUUCAACCUAUGAAUGUAAUGACAUGAAAUUAAGAGGCUAGUCUUAGUCCUUUAAAAAGGACAACGACGCCGUUUACGUCUAGGGGGUAAAUUAGGAUGUGACAAACUUUAUAUCCGAGCAUGAGGUUGAUUACCAUUCCGUUAUAUCUCUCUCUCUCUACAACGUCUAUGUAGGUUUGUAUUCAUAAUUGUGUACCACACUUAUGAGUAGAAACCUAUAUGAUGCUUAGGAAUCCUCUCGUUCUUGGAAAUCUUAUAUCAUUCCAAUAGAUUAUACUUUUGGUGUGCCUUGCAUCUAAUCCUAUUGUUGUGCUUAUAGGAAGCAUGAUCACUCGAAGGAAUGCGGCUUGAAGACUUGAGGAAGAAGUUGCUAAUGCGAGAGAUCCUCCCAUGAUGAUCCGGCUAACCCUCCACCAUGACUACAUAAGCACAAGCCACAACGGUUCAAGACCAAGCUUUGACGUCUCAAGCAAAUCUAGAUGUUUCUCCCCUUCCUCAUCAACAAGUCACAACUAUGUCUUUUCAUCUAAGGUACUUCACUCGAAUGAACCCUCUUACUUUUUAUGGGUCUAAGGUUGAUGAACACCCCCAAGAAUUCCUUGAUGAGGUCUAGAAUGAGCUAUAUGAUAUGGGGCUAACUUCAAGUGACAAGGCUGAGUUGGCCUCAUAUCAACUCAAAAAUGUGGCUCAAACUUGGUAUGUGCAAUGGAGGGAUAAUAGGGAGUUGAGGGGAGGUCCGGUAACUUGGGAGAUCUUUAUGGCAGCUUUUAUACGUUGGUUCCUAGAGAGAUGAGGGAUGAGAAAGUGACGGAGUUCAACAAUCUUUGACAAGGAGGGAAGAGUGUUCAUGAGUACUCUUUGGAAUUCGUUAAGAUGUCCAAAUAUGCUCCUUCUUCAGUCUCCAAUCCUAAAGACCAAAUGAGCCAUUUUCUGACGAGGGUGUCGGAGGAGUUACAAGAGGAUUGCCAAUCGGCAAUUCCACAUGACAACAUGAAUACUUCCCGUAUUAUGGAUAUGCAAGAAGGAUUGAGGAGGAAAGACCUAAGCGAAAAAUUAUAGAUGGUAAGAGGGAUAGGUCAUUUGAUGGGGGAUCCUCAAAGAAUAGGCAUGAGAUACAAGAUAAGCAUAAAUUUAAGAAGUGGGGUUCGAAUCAAGUCCCUUCAAAAAUCCCAAGAUCUAGUGGUGAUAGGGUGUCUAACCCAAAUUCAAUAAGGGAAAAGGUAAUAAUUCACCAAAGGAGAAACAAACUUGUUGAAAGUAUGGUAAAAAGCACUAUGGUGAGUGCCUUAGGGGGACAACUAAUUGCUUUAGUUGUGUUAAGAGUGGUCACAAAAUGAGAAAUUGUCUAAACUUGUGGAGUCAAGACAAGGGUUGUGGCAAAGCUCAAGCAAGUUGUUCUAGUGAUUCUCCAAAGAAGAACCACUUCUAUGCUAUCCUCUAUAGGGGUAAGCAAGAGACCUCUCCCGACAUGGUGACCGGUAAGUUAAAAAUGAUUACUCUUGAUGUGUAUGCUUUAGUUUACCCAGGUACUACAUUGUCCUUUGUUACACCUCUAGAAGCUAAAAAGUUUGAUGCUUUACCCAAUAUUUUGCAUGAGCCUUUUCUAGUGUCUACUCCGGUGGGAGAGUCGGUUGUUCCUAAAAGAAUCUAUCAAAAUUGUCCUAUUUCAUUACCCAAUAGUGUUUCUUAUGUUGAUCUAGUAGAACUCGAUAUGCUUUAUUUUUAUACUAUAUUGGGUAUGGAUUUGUUGCAUGCAUGUUUUGCAUCCAUUAGUUGUAGUACAAGAGUGGUGAGGUUUAACUGCCCAAAUGAACUCGUUGUUGAGUGAAAGGGGGGAAAUUCUAUUCCUAGGGAUCACAUCAUAUCUUGUCUAAAAUAAUGUAAAAUAAUCUCAAAGGUUUGUCUCUAUCACAUAGUAAGAGUCAAAUAUUUGAAUUCGAAAUUCCUCCUAUUGAGUUGUUCCCCGUAGUAAAUGCAUUUCCGGAUGGUUUUUCUGAUGACCUUCCCGGUAUUUGUCCUGAGCAGGAAAUUGAUUUUUGUAUCAAUUUGCUACCGGAAACAAAUCCCAUUUCAAUCCCUCCAUAUAGGAUGGCUCCGGCCGAAUUGAUAGAGUUGAAGUCUCAACUAAAGGAUUUGCAUGACAAAGACUUUAUAAGGCCUAGUAUAUCUCCAUGGUGUUUUCUGGUGUUAUUUCUCGAAAAGAACAAUGGGUCUUGGAGAAUGUGUAUUAAUUUCCGCCAACUCAACAUAGCCACCAUUUCAAAUAAGUAACCUCUCCCUCGGAUUGAUGACAUAUUUGAUCAACUCCAAAUGGCGAGUUACUUUUCAACGAUAGACUUCAGGUCGGGGUAUCAUCAACUCAGGGUAGGAGGGGCGGAUAUACUGAAGACGACCUUUUGAACUAGGUAUGGGAAUUAUGAGUUCUUAGUCAUGUUUUUCAGUCUCACUAAUGCUCCGACGGCACUUAUGGACCUAAUGAAUAGAUUAUUUGUAAAUUACCUAGAUUCAUUUGUCGUUGUCUUCAUUGACGAUAUCUUGAUAAACUCGAACGAUGAGGAUGAUCAUAUGGGUCAUUUGAGGGUAGUGUUGCAAACCCUUUCACAAUAUCAAUGGUAUUCCAAAUAUAGUAAGUGUGACUUUUUGUUGAGAUCGGUGAAUUUUCUUAGGCACAUCAUUACUGGUGAGGGAGUUGAAGUAGACCCAAACAAAACGGAAAUGGUAAAAAAUUGGCCUAGACCAUUGACUCCGACUCAUAUUAGGAUUUUCUUGGGCUUAGUGGGUUACUAUCGGAGUUUGGUGGAAUGUUUCGCGUCCAUUACAUCUCCUAUGACUACUUAAACUCAAAAGAGUAAAAAGUUUGAGUGGUCAGAGGUGUUAGAAGAGCUUCCAAUUGUUGAAAGAUAGGCUCACUUCCGCUUCGGUGUUGAACUUACCGGAGGAUACAAAGGGAUUUGUGGUGUAUUGUGAUGCAUCGCAAGUGUGUUUAGGGUGUGUGAUUAUGAAAAACGGGAAGGUGAUAACUUAUGCCUCUAGGAAACUAAAGGUACAUGAGAGAAAUUACCCUACUCAUGACUUUGAAUUAGUAGUGGUGGUGUUUUCUUUGAAAAUUAGGAGGCAUGACUUAUAUGGUGUUCAUGUGUAUGUUUUUACUGAUAUAAGAGUCUCCAAUAUGUGUUUACGCAAAAGGAGUUAAAUCUCCGACAAAGAAGGUGUCUUGAAUUUUUGAAAGAUUAUUAUACGAGUUCCUUUAUCACCUCGGGAAGGAUAAUGUAAUGGAGGAUGCCCUAAGUUAGAUGACUAUGGGUAGUGUAUCGCAUCUUGAUGAAGCCAAAAAGUACCUAGCAAGGGAAGUUCAUAGGUUGGCUAGGUUAGAGGUGAGGUUUGAGAGUUUUCUAGAUGGGGGUGUCAUAGUUCAUUAUAACUCUAAGUCAUCUUUAGUGUUUGAUGUGAUGUCCAAACAACACCUUUAUUUAGCCUUUAUGGAGUUGAAAGAAUCGGUUCUUGGCAAGUUGAAUGAAUCAUUCUCUUUAGGGGGGAUGGCGUAUUAAGGUACCAAGGGAGACUAUGUGUUCCCGAUGUAGAUGGGUUGAGGGAUAGGAUCUUAUAAGAAGCACAUGGGUGAUGCUAGUCAAUUCAUCCGGGGUCGACAAAAAAUGUAUCAUGACCUAAGGUAAAUAUAUUGGUGGAAAGGUCUAAAAAGGGACAUGAAGGAACUUGUCGCUAAGUGUCCGAAGUGCCAACAAGUAAAUGCUGAACACCUAAAGCCGGGUAGCUUACUACAAGAUAUCCAAAUUCCAACUUGGAAGUGGGAAGACAUCAACAUGGACUUUGUAGUAGGUUUACCCCGAACCUAAAAGUCCUAUGAUUUCGUAUGGGUAGUCAUGGAUGAUGAACUAAAUCCGCUCGCUUUAUAACCGUCAAGUCUUCAUAUUAAGAGGAAGAUCAUGUAUGAAUCUUCCUAGAUGAUAUUGUGUGCCUCCAUGGAAUUCCAUUAUCCAUUAUAUUGGAUCGGGUGCCCAAUUCAUAUCUAGAUUGUUGAGGUAGUUCCAAAAAGGGUUAGGUACUAAGGUGAAGUUGAGCACCGCUUUUCAUCCCCAAACGAAUGGUCAAACAGAGUGUACGAUAAAAACUCUUAAAGAUAUGCUUAGAGCAUGAAAUAUUGAUUUUAAAGGGAGUUAGGAUACGCAUUUACUUUUAGUGGAGUUUACCUAUAACAAUACUUUUCAUUCAUCCAUUUCGAUGGCUCCUAUGAAGCCUUGUGUGGUAGGAGGUGUAGAUCCCUAUUGGAUGGUUUGAAAUGGGUGAUCCAUUUCUUGGUCCAGAGUUGAUUUAUAAGACUUUUGAAGUGGUUCAUAUCAUAAAGAACCGAUUGCAAAUAGCGUAUAGUCGGCAAAAGUCUUAUGCCGAUAAUAGUAGAAGGGAUUUGGAGUUUGAAGAAGGUGAUAAAUUGUAUUUGAGAAUUUCACCAAUAAAAGGGGUGGUUAGGUUUUGCAAGAAAGAGAAAUCGAGUCCACGUUAUGUGGGUCCCUAUAAAAUCUUGCAAAGUGCUGGUAAGGUAUCCUAUGAAUUGAAACAUCCUAGUGAAUUGGUUUUGGCUUAUACGGUUUUCCAUGUUUCUAUGUUGAAAAAGUGUAUCGAUGAUCCCAAGUUCAUUCUUCUUAUUGAGGGUCUUGGUGUUAAGGAUAACCUCUCUUAUGAGGAAGUUCCAGUUUAAAUUCUUCAUAGGCAUGUGACGAAGUUGCGGAAUAAAUAGGUGGUUUCCAUAAAGGUGUUAUGGAAAAAUCAUCUAGUUGAGAGUGAAACAUGGGAGGCUGAGGCCGACAUGAAUUCCUGUUACCCUCAUCUUUUUCAGAAUUAAGGUUAGUCAUUCUUUUUAAUAAUAUAAAUAUGAUUAGAAAUUGAAGUUUCUUGAUCUUUGGUUUAAGUGUUAAAAAUGGCAUUUUUGAAAACCUCACAUUAUUAUUUACAGUGAAGUCAUUGUAGUAUUGCUAUUAAAAACUUGAAAUUCUGCUUUUUGCUUCUUUUGAGUUAUGUUGUGCAUUUUGAUAUGGUGAGUCUUCAUAAAAUGAUAGGUAGAAUGUUGUUAACUUGAAAUUUCUGCUAAUUAACUCAUGUGAUGUAUGUUGAGCUCGUAAGUGUUGUUAGAAGGAAAUGCCUCAUGAUGAAGUGUUUUCAGCUUUAGGUGUGGUAAUAUGGGUUUUUGGAUAUUUACCUUGUUUAAGUGACAUGAUUUAUGUGUAAUGGAUAUUGUUAAUUUGUUAGACUGCUAGUCUUGGGUGUAUUCCUUCCUUCAAAAGAAUUUUAGUGUCAUUCGGGGGACGAAUGAUCCUAAGGGGGGAUAAUGUAACACCUUGAAAAUUCAAGAUUCAUUUUAAAUCCUAACAGAGGUUUCAUAAAGUCUAAACACUGUUUCUAAGCCCAUUUUUAAUGAAAAUAGGUCAUUUAGGAGGUUUAAAAACCAAAACGUCCAAAAACGUCUCAGAAGUUAGUUCAAAGAGAGAUUAGUGUGCCUUAGCCUUUUUGACUAAUUUUUAGUUGUCGGAAAUGUGAAAAAGUUGGUGGAAAGGUAUCGAAUGGGUGUUUGAGUUGUUUUAUGAUUGAAACGUGUCGGUACGACUCCCUAAAGACCAACCAAAGUCCUUGAAAAAGAUCCCUGCAGUUUAAUGCAAUACACCUGGCAGUGUGCAUAGACGAGACAGACGAUGGUCCGUGUGUGGAUCGAGUGGGCGUCAAUGCAACCGUCGUCCCACACUUAGGCGGUUUGAGAAGGUACUUUCACCUGCAUAAUUCUGGAAUCAUCGACAGAAUACAGAGGUGUAGGCUACGGUCCGUGUGUGGAUCGACGAGGCAUCGAUGCCACCAUCGUCUCACACUUAGAAAAAUUGGAGGAAGCCCUUGUAUGCAAAUUCUCUGACUGAGACAACAGAGUGCAAGACAGAGGGGUUGGUUGUCCGUCGACUCGCCAUCGGUCGGAGUCCCGUCGGUGAGGGUCGAGUUUCGCUGUUAAAUUUUAAAUGAUUUCAUUUAAUUAAUUAAGUGAUGGUUUAGGGAUUGGUUAGGGAUUAAAGGGAGACUAAUUAAGUUAAUUAAUCCCCAAUAUAAAUACCCUCAACAAGUUAUAACAUUAUAAUUCAUAACCUAAAUCACAUCUCAAGGACUAGUCCUUGAGAUGUGAUUUAGGUUAUGAAUUAUAAUGUGAAAUUAGCCUAUGUACUGUCACGACCCAAAACGUGUCGUGAGUGACACCCACACUUAUCCUACUAUGUGAGCGAACCAACCAAUUUAAACCCCAAUCAUUUACCAAUAAUAAACAGAAAAACAAUGCGGAAGACUUAAAACUCAUUAACAAAAUCAAUAAUCAACUUCUAAAUCUCAAAACUUAUCAUUAUCCCCAAAAUCUGGAAGUCAUCAUCACAAGAACAUCUAUCCUCAAAUUACUAAUUCUAAGAGUAUCUAGAAAGGUAGAACACAUAAAAAGCUAGUCCAUGCUGGAACUUCAAGGCAUCAAAACAUGAAGAAGAAGAUCCAGUCCAAGCUAGAAGCGUUAGCUCACCCUGAAAUCCGGUGUAAUGAAGACUGGCUAGAUUUGCGGUUGAGUUGAAGAAGAUGGUACGUUUGCUGCACUCCACACAUAACAAAGAAAACAAUUACAAAUAGGGGUCAGUACAAAACAUGAGUACUGAGUAGAUAUCAUCGGCCAACUCAAUAUAGAAAACAGUAUAUAUAAGAUAAUAUCAUAAAAUCAACUACAAUACUCAACAUGCGGCGUUUACAAUUACCAUAACCCUUGGUCACAACACCAAGCACAUCAAUGAGGACUCACGCCUCCCCAUCAUACUAAUUUGGGAAUUAGGUUCAUUAAAUUGAGUAUAUUAACAUCUUUCAAGAUUUAUUAUCUUUAUUUCUCUCGUGUCGGUACGUGACACUCCGCUCCAUAUUCUUUCUAUUUUUUCUUAUUCAAACCCUUUUUCUUUUACCCUAAUUAGCAUAUAAUUAAGUAUAAAAGAUGACAAAAGUAACCUACUAAUUAAUUCAAGGUUAUCUCCUUUAACCCUCAAGUAAUUGAAUUAUUAAUAUUACCUACUAACUUUAUAAUUAUAAGCAGGAAUAGUCCAAAACUCCCCUUAAAACAUUUAACAGAAAUCCGACCCAGGCAGGGUCACCCAGUCUGUGAUGGGCCGUCGUGCCUGCGACGGUCCGUCCUGCUGAGUCGUCACAAAGUUCAGAGACUGAAAUUUACUGAAGGUCCUGUGACGGUCCGUCGUGCCCACGACGGUCGAUCCUGCCAUGUCGUCAUGAAGUUCAGAGAGUUGUUCCUAGUACCCAAUUUUUCAUAAUUCUAAGUGUUUUGGAAUGAGACACCCUCGACGGUCCGUCGUGCCUAUGACGGUCUGUCGUGGGAUCCGUCGACUCAGACAGUUAUUACCAGAAAAUACUCUAUUGCUCAAAACGACUAAACAUGUCAUUACAUGUACCUUGUCUCAAGUUGUGAUCUAAAGAUGAUUUGUGUUAUAGAGAUACAAUUUGGCUUGUUCUUCUAUUGGUUAUCAUUGUGUGAUAAUGUUACUCCCCAAGUUGGGUUGAUGGUAACACCUUGAUGAUAGACUAUGAGGAGGACUUGGUAAGUCUUAGAAUCUCUAUCUUUACUUCUAAUUGUGAUUAAUUGUUGUUAAGUCAUUAAAUUACAUUGGAGUAUGACUUAUACUAGGAUUAUAGGGUGGUAUGGUGUUGAAUUGAAAUGUCUUGACUAUGUUGUUAAGAUGAUUAAAGUGUAUGUGAUAUAAGGAUGGUGAAACUAUUAAUGCCCCUUAAUAUGUUAUAAAAUGGUAAUAUUUUAACCUCACUAAUAUGAAUUGUGAUGAAAAGAUUUAUACUCAUACAAUUUUUAUUGAUAUAUUGAUGAUGAUGAUCGUACAAGUGGUAGACCCUAUGGCCUAAAUUAAGUUAUGAAUGAUAAUUAAAGGCUUAAAGACAUUUAAAAAAGGGACUCUAGUUUAGCACUGAGUGGACUAGAUAGAGGAGUGUCCCUUCCCACAAAGGGAAAGUGGGAACACUACAUUAUUCUCGAGAUUGGAGAUUAUAAUACAUGGCUCAUAAAGAGGGUCCCAACACAGUCUCCUAGUUCUUGAAAUAUGUUGCCCCAUAGGAAUACUAGCUAGUGGAUCCACUUAGUUGCUAUGUUUUAUACUUUGGUACUACCUUGAUAAGUAGUCCUCCUUCUUUCAGUGUAGGGUUUUAUGACAUUGGAUUCAACACUAGUUCAUGUGGUCUACGUCGGUUAGGGAAAGAUGUUCCCAAAAGGUAAGACGAAUUAAAGGACUUGAACUCUAAAUUGGAUAAACUAAGGGUUCUAGCUUAGACUAACUAGGGGUAUGGGACUCUACCUAGACAUUGCACUUCUUAGCCUUGGGGGGAGUCUUAGGAAGAGGUUCUUAUAUAUGUCUAAGUUAUAACAAUAUUUGAUGUAUAUAUGAUAAAAUGGCACAUUGUUGAUACUAUAUGUUGGUUAGUUCAUUUAUGAAUAUGCCUUGGGUUAUAAUGAUAAUACAUGAUGAAAUGCAAGCCUAAAUGCUUUGGUAUGUAAAGUUGGUCAUUGGUCAUGUUCUCUUGUUGAGGAUACUCGAUUGAGUAAGGUUAUGGGGCUUUGAUUGGUAAUUGAACUUGUUGACUUAAUAAGGUUGUGUGAGUAGUUGUCUUGCUUAUUAUGAUAUGUUUAACUCUUGUUCAUUUUUGUGAUAUUAUUCCUUGAUACUGGGGGUUGUAGUAAAUCAUGCUUUCAAGUGUGUUGGGAUAAGUAUUACUUUUUGAGAUAGUAAGCAUGUUUGGUUGAUUAAUAUGACUUACUUGACUUUGCAUUAUGCCCCUAAAGGCAUGAUUUGAUAAAGAGUCCCUUUUAGCAUUUUCUUUCUUGUGUAUGUGCAUAAGAUCUCAUACUUAGUACAUGUGGAGUACUAACCCCAUUUUUUGUUCCCUGUUCCCAAACAUUUUAAGUUCUGUUCAUUAAAGAGUUUGGGGGAUUGUAUUGUUGAAGGCGUGGAUUCUUCGUUUCAUCCAAGUGGGGUAGGUCCUCAACCUUUGAGGGCAAUGCCAUCUUCUAGCUUUGGAUUUUUUUAUGAGCUUAUUGACUCUAUCAUUUCUUCCCUUGUUAUUUGAAUAUUGUACUUUCAUAUGGCCUAUACAUGGUCUUGUUGAAUUGAUGUAAGGGUUAUACCCAUAUUUUGAUAUUUGUGUAGAUUGUAUGACAUAAGACAAUCGUUCAAACAAUUUCUAUAUUUAUAUAUAUAUAUGUGUGUGUGUGUGUGUGUGUGUGUGUGUGUGUGUGUGUGUGUGUGCAAAAAAAGUAGAAGUCUAUGUAACCUCCCUAUAUGAAGGGUCUAUAUAUACUCGAUAUGAAUAUAUAUUAUGUGUAUGUAGAGGUUUAUGUAAACCUCCAAUAUAUAUUAUGUGUAUGUAGAGGUCUAUGUAAACCUCCAAGUAGAGAUGAUAAAAGUAUUAAAUUUUUCAGCAUUUUUCAACCUAUGAAUGUAAUGACAUGAAACUAAGAGGCUAGUCUCGGUCCUUUAAAAAGGAAAACUAAGCCGGUUGCGUCUAGGGGGUAAACCCGGGUGUGACAUCUUUACCGCCUCAACCUUUUUAGGAUCAACUUCAACACCCUGGUCGGUCACAACAUUACUAAGAAAGGUCACUAAUCUCAACCUGAAUUCACUUUUGCUGAACUUUGCAUACAACUGAUGUUCUCUGAGUACUUGCAAUGCCUUUCUUAAGUGUACUUCAUGCUCUUCUCUAGACAUAGAGUUUAUGAGGAUGUCAUCUAUGAAUACUAUGACAAAGGAAUCAAGUUAAUCAUGGAAGACUCUAUUCAUAAGGUCCAUAAACGCGGCUGAUGCGUUAGUGAGACCGAAUGACAUGAGCCAAAAUUCAUAAUGCCCACAUCAAGUAUGAAAAGCCGUCUUAGGGACGUCUUCUGGUCUCACUCUAAGCUGAUGAUAGCCUGAACGAAGGUCUAUCUUGCAAAAGAAACUGGAAAAUUUAGAGUUGGUCAAAUAUAUCGUUGAUUAUGGGAAGAGGGUACUUAUUCUUCAUAGUGAAUUUGUUAAGUUGCCGAUAAUCGAUGCAUAUUCUAAGGGUUCCAUCCUGUUUCUUUACAAAUAACACUGGAGCACCCCAUGGGGAUAUGCUCGGCUGGAUGAAGUCCUUAUCAAGUAGAUCUUUUAAUUGCAACAUCAACUCUUUGAGUUUAGCUGGUGCAAUCCUAUACAGGGGAAUAGAAAUUGGCUUGCUGUUGGGAUCUAAAUCAACACCAAUGUCAAUCUCACGUUUAGAGGAACUACUGGUAAAUAUUCUUAAAAGACAUCUAGAAACUCAUUCACUAUGGACACAGAGUUUAUGGAGGGGAUGUCUUGAUCUAAGUCGUUGAAUUUAAGCAAGUGGUAUAAAUACCCCUUAGCUAUUAUCUUAUUGGCCUUUAAAUGUGUAAAAAUUUGGCAGACUGGACUUGAACCACGCCCUUUCAAUCUCAACUCUAACUCAUUUGGAAACCAAAAACUUACUACCCUGUUCCUAUAGUCUAUUGUAGCACAACACUUAUGAAGCAAAUUCAUACCUUAGCCAUAUCCUUGAGUUGGUAUGCAACAACUUUAUCCUUCUCCUCUUCAUUAGUAAUCAUAAAAGGAUUUUGGAACUUACCAUGCAUUCACCUCCAUGAGAACAACGACACUCACCACACGUGUUUUGUUCAUGCUGGGCAUUUCCAUCACGGCCCCUUCUUGGGUAGAUUAGAUUUUUAGUCUUGCUCCUUACAUCAUUCGGCCAUCCUAAUUGUUGUGUGUAUUCUUCUACGUGUUCAUACAAGAAGGAAGUUAUAUACUUAGGAUGAUAGAAAGUGUCAAAGCACUAGAUAACACGAUAAAGAGUAGAAGAAAGGAUAUUUCCUAACAAUACAUAGUCUCUAAGUUACGAUUGCAGCACACUUCACAACCAUAAGUCAGAAACGAUGUAAUGUGGUUGUUUUGAGAUUUAGUUCCUAGGUAAUUUAACCUCAUGCUCUGAUACUAUGUUUGUCAUGACCUGGAUUUUAGAAUCCGAAUCUCAACCGGCGUCGUUGACCUCUCAAAGGUUUCAGACAAGUCUCUUCUUGCAUUCAUCACAUUCAUCUAGUUGAAAUUGUGGAAAAUUUAAAGAUUUUUAAGCAUAUGAAGUAUACAUGGACUUCAUAUAAUUAUUAAGUAGUUACAUCAUAUACUAAGCUCAAAGUAAAGAAAUAACCAUCUAUCAUAAAUAAAUUGAAAGGGAGAAUCAAUAUAUUAUAAAUAAGUUUGCCAAACACGGCCUUAUUACAAAAGGUUCGAAAAGAAAGUAUCUGAAAGAAACGCUAGGGAAAACAUCCACUAGCUAUGUCUACUACUAGGCUAGACUAAAACUGUAGAAUUCUCGAAAACAAGAGGACCUACCAAAUGGUCUGGAGAACGUUGCUGUCCAAACCGCUGCAAUGAAUCUUCAAUCUGCUCUUUUACGUGCCCUAAAAAAUAGUAAAUUUUAUAGGGUAAGUACACCAUUCUAAAAAAAACUUAAAAAUAAAAUAAAAUAAUUAUAGAUGUAUGCAUAAAUACAAAUAAUGCUAUAUAUGAUCAAGGAAAGAUCUUCCUAAACAACAUGCCAUUUUUGGAAAGUAUAGUCACUAGACUUUCCUAAUUCAUUAGUUGUGAAUUGUGGUAUAAAUAUGAUGUAAUUUAAUGCAUUCAAAGCAUACAAAUCAUUUUCUAUGUGAUUACAAGAUCUUAGAGUCAUCAACAUUAGAAUAACUCGAGCAAAUAUUUUAAAUAUUAACCAUGCAAAACCCGAGAUCCCUAUUUUGGACACUUAGAUUAUUUUUCACUCUUUUUCUUCUUAUUAUUAUGUUGUUCAACAAUUCCUUAGGUAUUAUGCUUUACUGACAAGUUCAAUGAUUCAUUGUAGUCCCAUACCCACAAUGAAUCAAGUAACUAAUCCAAGGACUAAGGAAUUAUUUCACUAUACUUACAAUGAGUCAUUCUUUACAUUAUAUAUUCAUUGACACUUCGUAAUCCAGUCUCCAUUAGUUAUGCUACUUAUUUCAUGUUCAGGAAGUUAUGAAUCUUUGAUUUGCUACUUUGUUUCUACUCCCCUUUAUUGGCAUCAUAUAAGAAGUCAUUAUAGCCAAUCUUAUUUGUUUUGCCGAUUAUUUGCAGAAACUUCAUUGGUAUUGAUAUUUGCCAUUGACAUUCUUAAUAUCUUAAUUUCAUAGCUCACUUUGAACAGACAUUUCAUUAUCUUUCAUUCUUUCUUUGGAAAAGACAUUUUUAGCAGUCAGAUCGUGCAAGCUAACAUGAAAUCCAGUGUCUUCCCCACAUCGAUAGAGGUGAUUCAUCUGUUAAAAUAAAUAUAGAUCAUGUGAUCUACUCAUGAAAUCCAGUUUGUGCUCCACACCGAGAAGGGGUGAUUCCUGUCUAAGGUGAAUCCGUGUCAAGUGUUUACUCCACACCAAAAAGGAGUGGCUCACGGCUAUAGUGAACCAACAACAUCUUUUUGAAAAUUUACCAACAUAGAUCAUGUGAGCUAAACAUAAAAUCUAGUGUCUACCCGACAUUGAAAAGAGGUGAUCUCACUUGGCCAAGGUGAGAUCAAAACAUAACAAGCUCGCUUAGGUGGAAACCACAGGCAAGUUCCUAUGUUGGCUAGACCUAGUUAUAAGACUAGGGACGUAAGGAGACUACUUAGAAACGUAGGUGGUAGCCUAGUUUAUCGGUGCUAAGCUCAGUUUCAUUAUCUUCUUAUCUAUAAGAGAUGACUCAAACAUUACGGAGGCUUGCUUUUAGAUUGAGAUUUACUUACUGUAUUGAUUCCUUGUAAUCCUUUUCUUUACAUUGAUGAAAUAUUAAUUGUCCUUACAUAACAUCUUUUGUGUUAAUGAGACUUCUCUGACACGUUCUAACACUUUCAUUCGUGUGUAUUUUUAACAUAGUAGCUUAGGUGUAAGUGAGGCUUGUCUCACUUUUUGUAACACCUCAUUUUGGUCACUUUCUUAACAUAUACAUAUUUAGUUAUGUUAUUACUCACGUUACUUGCUUACUUUUGUUUAGUAUCGUCUUAUCAUCGUUUAUGGACGAUGAGCAUUUCCCUCAAUGAAUUACAUUAGUUCAUAGUUCAUUCUUUUUAGAGAAUUUUGGGACUUGUCCCAUUGAAUGGCGUGCCGUUGGAUAUGGAUUCAUUGUAUUUCUUUAGGAAUGCUUGAGUUGUCAUUUCAUUAUUUUGGCUACAUAAGAUUGGCAUAUACUUAGUAUUGGCAUAACAAUUGGGUAAAGAUUACAUAACCAUCUUUGUUGGCUUAAGGAAAUUUUCAUAUUCAUUCAUGCUUAAUUUGGUAUGUAAUAACCAUUAGCUAAUAAUCUAAUUAUCUAGGAUAAUAUUAUAUCCAAUUCUAUUCAUCGAUCUUACACAAUGUAUUGUUAACCAUUUUAUUGGCAUAAGACAAGCAAUUCAUUCAAGUAUAAUUUCAUGGAGAUCUUUUAAGCCAACCUUAUAUUAUAACCUUACAAUAACGUUAUUAACCAUUUUGAACAGCAUCAUGUUAAAACUUUAAUGAACAUAACAUAUUCAUAAAAUCAUACAGUCAUGUUAAAAUGAACUAUGCAUUAGAGCGUAACACAUCAACACAUAACAUUUUCGGACAUGAUUUAACAUAACAUCAUUCUUUAAAAAACAAAAUAAACACUUAACACCAUACGAUUAUAAUUUCAUAGGUUCAUUAGACGUUCAUAAUUCAAGAAUUCUACGCAUUAAUAUUAGCAUGAUCAAGACUUAUCUAUACGACAUAUAAAUCCUAACAAGGAUACUAGGGAAAAGGAAAGUUCAAAGAGAACUUUUGGAAAACAGCCCUAGAAUCGAGAUCUCAUGGAUUACGACGAUGGAAAGUACUCUUGGAGAAAGAAUUCAAGGAUAAAAACCAUUACCAUAUGUAGAAAUCAAUCUACGAAGACCACCUUGAAUGAAACCUUGAAGAACACCUUGAAUUCGCCUAAGAACAUCGAUGAACUUUCUGCCUUUUUACAUAAUUUUUUAGCGUCGCCUUUUCUAUGUGUUGGAUCGUGAGUUUUUAGGUUUAGGAACUGAUAUUGAAUCAUUCAACCUAGGAUUAAUAAGUUAAUUAAUGAAAUAAAUUGAUUAAUUACUAAAAAUCUCCUCCUAGAUUGACCAGAACUAGGAAAACACAACAAUUAGUCAAAUCUUACUUUUUUCCUAUGAAUUUCGUUUUGACACUUUAAAGUAAUUAAUUAAAUGUGUAAUUUAAUUAAUUAAUGGAAUUAGGGUAAUUUAUAAAUUAUCCUUAAGUAUUUAUAACCAUACCUAACCCUUUAGACCAUUAUAGGUUAGGUACUAGGUUCUUUAACUAGUUACUAGGUUAGUGUCACACGGUUAAGUCUUAGGUUGUCGGGUGCACUAAUUAGUUUAUUUUGGUUGGUACUAGGUUAGUUAUAUAGUUAAGGAAGUUAUUUAGAGUAUAGAAUUAGUUAUAAAGAUAGGCCCCACAUUGGUGAACCCAUGUGCACGCCUGUCCCCUAACUACCCUAACCAAAUUCGUUUAGGGUGGUCCCAUCUUGUAAGUUUCUUCCUUUGUGCUUGCACAUGGUAUUGCACAUGGGUUGCUUGUGCUUUCCUAAAUAACUAUUAUUUAUGGUUUAUUUGGGAAUGGUUACUUAUUGUCCAAAGGAUCUUCACUAUGUCCUUGGGCACUGCUUAAUCUACAUGAUCAUUUUAAUUGAUCAUUUGCCAUGGUAUCGUCGCUUGAUAUCAUGUGUUUUUAGCUUAGGGUCUUUAUUGAAGUUACAUUUCUCAAACAAGCUUAUUAAUGUUAGAAAAAUGGCUAACACCCUUUAAGCCAAUAUUUUCUACUUUGCACAUAAUUUUCUUAUAUGCCCAAUACUUCUAAAUAUUGGUCAUUGGGAUGCAUAUUUACCCCCAAUACCUAUUCUUGAAACAUAAUAUGCCCUUCACUAGACAUGUAAUUUUACGGAAUGUUACAGUUUGGGUCCUCCUCGGGGACCCUUAGGCUGGUCCCUAGGUCAUUGUUCUCAUACGCUUCAACACCUUACAUGUUAGGUUACGCAUAUGAACCAUCGAUACUCAAUUUCACCUUCAAACGAUUCUUCAAAACUCCACUACAAAACACUACAACACACUUCAACUAGUUUCCGGAGGUCUUGGACGUUUGACCUCCAAACACUUCAAAACUUUAUGUACUGCCUAUAAACAUUAUUAUUUAAAAUUUAGGACUUUAAAACAUAUUAAUACACAUGUAAUCUCUAGUUUUACAUAAGCGUUUUAGAGCCGUUACAAUUUUUCUCACUUGGACAAUAUUCUUCCUUGAAUGACACUUGCUUCUUAUGAAAACUCUUUUCAAAAGAUAAUAAUCCCCACAAUAGAAGAACAUUAUUAUACCACACAAUACACAAUACACUACUAGGAAGAACCCCAAUUUCAUAUACUUUUAGAGAUUCAAAACAGAACAAGAAGAUAAAACUAAUGUACGACUCAUCAUGCAACGAGACUCACAUACUUCAUUUCAAAUAGGAGGAACACCUUCUACCUUCAUUAUCCUGAUCAUAUACAUCAAAUUAUAUACAUACUACAACAAUUUUCUACAAAAUAACAAUUUAGUCUAUUUUUAAAUAAUCUACCAGUAAACUGCCAAGCAUUAGAAUAAACAUUUUGAAAUUUCAUAAAUGCAAUAAUUAUGAAAUCAUGAUAAUAUAACAAAUAUUACCAUCUAAUAUCAAUAUACAACAUAAUCAUAACUUCACGAAAUGCACAAUGAAAGGAAUAAUGAAAUUAAAUUCAAACAAGAGUCCUAAAAAGGAUGCAACAAAGUAACAUGCUACUAUGACUUUCUAAGUCUUAAACUUAAGUUGAAUAUAAGGAAUGAAACAAUCAAUCAAAACUAUACUACUCACCAUACUCCCAUACUUAGAAGGAACUCAUAAAUAUGAAAAGAAAGAAUAUAUAAUUUACCAUCAUCCUCAUCAUCAUUUGGCUUUGAUCCUCUUGGACGGAGUGCAUAGAAAUGAUUCUUCCUUGGAGCAUCAUUACACGAAUAACUUGGAGUAACUUGCAUACCUUCUUUUCCUCUAACCGCAAUAGCAGGUCAACCCCUCACUUUGUGUGCAUCCUUAACACAACUAUAACAACUCGAAGAUCGCAUUUGGCAUUGCCCAUAGUAUUUCUUCCCACAUGUAGCACAAGUAGGAGUACCACAUUGAGAACCACUACCUUUCUCAAGUUUGACAUUAGGAUCUUUAGGUUCAUCUUGAUUUUAAACAAUCUUCUUUAUCCCAAGUUGGUUUUGAUCAUUUGGUCGACUCCUCAUAAAAUUUCUAGAAAUCCUACUAAACUUACACUCGUCAAUAGAUUGAGCAUAUACCAUGAGUCUAAUAAAGUUCAUGUCAUUAUGGAGCAUGGCCGUACGACACUCUUCAUUGAAAAGUCCGGCAACACCCACCACAAACUAAUCAUAUAAUCCCUAGGAUUAGACACCAAGGAUGGAGCAUAACUACAAAACAAAGUGAACUUAAAGGAAUAUUCCUCAACACUAACACUGCCUUGAUUUAGAUUAAUGAACUCCUCAACCUUCACGUCUCUCAUAUCACGGGGAAAGUAUUUCCUAACAAAGCCUCCUUAAAUUCUUCCCACUCUUAUACGACAAGACUCAACCAACCUAUUAUCUUUCCAUUGAUUAUACCACACUUGAGAAACCUCCCUCAAUUGGUACGAAGCUAACUCCAAUUUCUUCCAAUAAGUCACCCUCAUGGCAUUCAACACAUUAUACACACCAUCUAAAAUAUUUUGGCGAUCCACUCUCACCUUGGAGCAAAGAAAUGUAAUAGUAUUCAUCCUCACAAAGUCUCUCAAUCUAGAGGUCAGAGUGCUCUACAACAUCCACUCUAGGUUUAAUACCCCUAUUAACAUAGUAUCCAUAGCUCGAGCUAAAGCAAGUAAUGACUCUCCAAUCUCCCCAUUAGUCAUUUUUGGGGGAACCCCCGAAACCUCAUUACCUUUACAUCCAUUAGGGACAUGAAAUAUUUGAGCAAUUUUAGCAAUUUUAAGAACUUGCUCAACUUGAUCAAUUUGAGGAGUUGAGGAGGAAUUUUCUCAUUCACCCUUCCUUGUUCCAACCUUCUAGAUGCAAUCCUUCUAGUAUUCAUCUACCUAAUAACAAAAGAGAAGAGAUAAGAAAUAGACACAUACAACCUCAACUCUAUAGGAACGACUUAAGAUUACGAAGAAAGUUGAAAUCUAUCGUCCUAUAGCCUCUCGCACAUAUAUGUGCUGCGACUCACAUCGAUGCUCAAGACAUUACAAAAUGUGGCUUUAUGUGACUUUUUAUUACUCUGAACACUUUCAUAACAUAUGAUAUAAUACCAUGUUUGUAACUACUCGGGAGUACACUCUAGAAGUUAGGGCAUUCUAGGAUCGAUACACGACGUACUUGACCUCUUAGAGGCCUUCUACAAGUCUUUUGACAUCAACUAUUGCAUAUAUGUAUGAAAAGUCGUACGGAAUUAAAACUUUUCACAUGAAAUAUCUUAAAAUAUAUUUCAUAUUAAAAUUCAUAGAAAACACUAAGUCCCAAAAGAAGCAAAUUAUAGACUCAAGAAUACAUGGGACACGACCCAUACAAUAUGAAUAUUGGAAUACUUAGUCUAUUACAAUACAUUGAAUUAACAGAAUCUGAAGAUAGUUAUGCCCUCGAGUAAAAUGAGGACAUAAUGAAUGAGUCAUUGUAAGGAUAGUAAAAUCAUUCCUUAUUCCUUGGAUUACUUACUUGAUUCAUUGUGGGUAUGGGACUAAAAUGAAUCAUUGCACUAGCAAUUAAAACAUAGGACCAAAAUAAUUAUUAAACUACACAAUAAUAAGAAGAAAAAUACUGAAAAACAAUCUAAGUGUUAAAAAUAGGGCUCUUGGUUUGGCAUGGUUAAAUUUUCAAAUAUUCACAUGAGUUGUUCUAAAAUUAUGUUUAUGAUUCUAAUGUGUGAUCAUAUAGAAAAUGAGUUGUGUGCUUUGAAUGCAUUAAAAUACAUCAUAUUCAUACCACAAUUCACAAUUAAAGAAUUAGGAAAUUCUACUGACUUCACUUUGACGAAAUAACAUGUUGUUUAGGAAGAACUUUACUUAAUCAUGUAUAGCCUUAUGUAUAUGUGUGCAUACAUACACCCAUACUUAGUACAAGUGGUGUACUAACCCUAUACAAUUUUCUAUUUUUAUAGGUGCAGGUCAUAGAGAAGAUUGAAGAUUCAUUAAAGCGGUUUGGACAUCUGCUUUCUCCAGACCAUUUAAUAGGUCCUCUUGAUCUCGAGGAUGCUACUGUUUUAGUCUAUCCUAGUAGUAGUCGUAGCUAGUUGAUGUUGUCCCUAGAAUUUCUUUUAUAUUUUUUCUUUUGAAUCUUUUGUAAUAAGGUCAUGUUUGGAAAACUUAUUUAUGAUAUAUUCAUUCUCCCUUUGAAUUGAUUCUUUAUCAUAAAUGGUUGCUUCUUUACUUUGAGCUUAAAAUAUGUAACUUGUUAAUAAUUAUAUGAAGUUUAU
rnacentral:lncRNA from 1 species